GUACUACUCCCUCCGUCCGAAAAUACUUGUCAUCAAAAUGGAUAAAAAGGGAUCUAUCUAGAACUAAAAUAUGUCUAGAUACAUCUCCUUUUAUCCAUUUUGAUGACAAGUAUUUCCGGACGGAGGGAGUACCUC
rfam:Triticum aestivum genome assembly, contig: Triticum_aestivum_CS42_TGACv1_scaffold_621661_7DS